GCCAGGCAUGAUAGCAUGUUCCUAUAGUCCCCGCUAUUCAGGAGGCUGAAGUGGGAGGAUCACUUCAGUCCAGUCCAGGAGUUCUGGCCUGUAGUGUGUGAUGCCAACUGGGUGUCUGCACUAAGUUCAGCAUCAAUGUGGUGACUUCCCAGGAGCAGGAGACCACCUGCUUGCCUGAGGAGGGGUGAACUGGCCCAGGUUGGAAACAGAGCAAUGCAAAACUCCCGUGCUGAUCAGUAUUGGGAUCACACUGUGAAGAGCCACUGACCUGCAGCCUGGGAAACAUAUUGAAACCUGCCUCUU
ensembl:misc_RNA Metazoa_SRP Metazoan signal recognition particle RNA